GACGAACGCUGGCGGCGUGCUUAACACAUGCAAGUCGAACGGUGAAGGGACCGGUUUUUGCUGGUUCUGGAUGAGUGGCGAACGGGUGAGUAACACGUGAGUAACCUGCCCCCUUCUUCUGGAUAACCGCAUGAAAGUGUGGCUAAUACGGGAUAUUCUGCGCCUGCUGCAUGGUGGGUGUGGGAAAGAUAUUGUUUCGGUGGGGGAUGGGCUCGCGGCCUAUCAGCUUGUUGGUGGGGUGAUGGCCUACCAAGGCGGUGACGGGUAGCCGGCCUGAGAGGGUGGACGGUCACACUGGGACUGAGACACGGCCCAUACUCCUACGGGAGGCAGCAGUGGGGAAUAUUGCACAAUGGGCGCAAGCCUGAUGCAGCGACGCCGCGUGAGGGAUGGAGGCCUUCGGGUUGUAAACCUCUUUCGCCAGUGAAGCAGGCCUGUCCCUUUUGUGGGUGGGUUGACGGUAGCUGGAUAAGAAGCGCCGGCUAACUACGUG
rnacentral:rRNA from 1 species